UGUUGAAGAAUACUUCAAUACAUUCAUUCCCCUUUUUUUUCAAGUUCAGCUGCACUUUGUGAAAAUUCAAGGCUUGAAGCUGUUCUUUUUAUUUAUUUCUACAUGGACUAACAUCCCUCACUAUUCCCACCCCCUUCCCCAUCUCUGUUGCAGCACACGGCAGAAUCUAAAAGACAAGUAAAAGUCAGUCUGCCUUUAAAAAGAUAAAAUAGGUUUUGUGGGAUUUUUCUUUUAGGUUUUCAAUGAAACAAUGUAUUUUAUCAGCAAGCAAGCUCAAAUGCCAGCACAACCAAAGUAUCUAAGAAGGCCACACCUGGAGAAGCACUUUAAGAUGGGACAUGCAGCGAUCUGUUAGAGCUAUGGUGCAGAACUCACUUCAACACCAAAAGGAGCAGGCUACAGCUAGAGGAGAAACCAUCUUACAAUGAGACAGAAAAAGUCAAGCCAGGUAACGGGAUAUAGGACUUUUGGCUACUUGCCCCUUAUGAGGAAAGGAUCUCAGCCCUGACUGCCUCAAGCAGCUGACUGACCACGUUGAAGAUUCCAGGCUUCUAUCAGAGGUUUCCCUUGACUAACUGUGCCAGAUCCCUCUGAGUGAAAACUAUUUCCCUUGAAUUUACUGAAGACAGGUGACAACUAUAACCGGCUUUUUUUCCUAUGCUUCUGUGCCAAACAGAAAAGCAAACUACCAUGGCAAUGCAAGGCAAGGAAGAAAUCUAUGAGCAUUAGGUAGGCUCAGAAUGACUGAUGACAGCAAAGCAAACAGCAAGCUGGGUGCAGUUCACGAGAUGGGUCCAUGAACCCAUAGUCUCCUAGCUGCAGCAUUAUAAUGAUUGUUGCCAGUGUGCCCCAAGGGACAGCACUGAAGUUCUGAAACAUACUGUAAGUUGAUUAAGAUGUACCUUGAGGGUUCUUGGAGACUGGCGUAUGUUAGAUGAUAAUGUUGAUGGAUGUGGGAUGUGGCUGGUAUCAAUAAAGCGUGCCCUGAAAUGUUGGUGUCCAGUAUCCAAAAUGGCAGCCUUUGGAGUUAAAGUUGCCACACACCCACUUUGACUUUCAAAUCAGAUUUCUCAUCAAGCAACUUGUUUGGACAGUUCAGUAAGAUCAUAGGCUAAAUAUUAAUGAGGCAAAUUGUGAUAUUUAACAAGCUAUAAUUCCCCCUUAAUUGGCAAUGCACAGUUGCCGAG